AAGCUGAGAAUAAAGAGGUCGAAUUCAACAUGGCGGCGGAUGUGGUUGGGUGUUAUGGAAAAUCACAGCGAAGCUUUGGUAUAAAACCCCGAACAGGAAGGGAAAUUGACAUUUCUUUCAUUUUAAACAUAUUUUAUGGCAUUUGGUGACAUUUGGACUUAAAACAGAUGGAAAUGGCAGCCCCAAAAUAGAGAAAUGAAGGCCAUAUUUCUCUUCAUGUCAGAAAGCUGCAAAAAGAGAAGAAUCUUUCACACUGAAGAAGUAGAAACAAGACAAAAGUAGAACUGUUUUCUUACCAGAAUUGUGAAAAAGAGGAAUGUUCAUGCUGUAUCACAAUAAGAAAAGAUUCUCACUGCUCAAGUAUGGCCAAACCUGGAUUAAAGUGCCUGGGUAAUUGGGACAUCAGUUGGAUUAGAGAAGUGUAGCUCCUGUACACUAUCAAGACCUGCAAAGUAACACAGCCAAUUGACAGGACAUAAAAAGGAGAUAAAUAAGAUAGAAACCUGGCAGAUUUUGAAAGAAAGCAUAGGAGAAGGAACUGAUUCAAGAUCUCUUUCACUUCUAAAGAAAGGAAGUAAGGCCAAUACUGAAAAGUUCACAAGUUUAAAAUGGAGUUCAGAGGAGAAGAGAGUAUCUUUUACUUGUUUUGUUUCCUUUAGAAUUAAGAGGAAGACAGAAGAAAAUAAAAGGUCCAAGAAAGAAUCGGCGUGGAAAAGAAGGAGAAGUUUGCUAACAUUUCGAACUGUCGCGUGCAGAACUCUUGCAGACGAUUGAAACUGGUUUCGAUGCAAAAUGUAAUUGAUUUAUUUUGAGUUGAGCACUACAGAAUAAAACAGCACCGAAGCCGUUCA